rnacentral:rRNA from 1 species
UACGGGGGGGGCAAGCGUUGUUCGGAAUUACUGGGCGUAAAGGGCGCGUAGGCGGCCUACUAAGUCAGACGUGAAAUCCCUCGGCUUAACCGGGGAACUGCGUCUGAUACUGGAUGGCUUGAGUUUGGGAGAGGGACGCGGAAUUCCAGGUGUAGCGGUGAAAUGCGUAGAUAUCUGGAGGAACACCGGUGGCGAAGGCGGCGUCCUGGACCAACACUGACACUGAUGAGCGAAAGCCAGGGGAGCAAACGGG